GGGGUCUUGUGCCGGUUGUGG
rnacentral:siRNA from 1 species